rnacentral:rRNA from 1 species
AGUGAACGCUGGCGGUAGGCCUAACACAUGCAAGUCGAACGGCAGCACAGUAAGAGCUUGCUCUUACGGGUGGCGAGUGGCGGACGGGUGAGGAAUACAUCGGAAUCUACUCUUUCGUGGGGGAUAACGUAGGUGAACUUACGCUAAUACCGCAUACGACCUACGGGUGAAAGCAGGGGAUCUUCUGACCUUGCGCGAUUGAAUGAGCCGAUGUCGGAUUAGCUAGUUGGCGGGGUAAAGGCCCACCCAGGCGCCGAUCCGUAGCUGGUCUGAGAGGAUGGUCAGCCACACUGGAACUGAGACACGGUCAAGAGUCCUAAGGGAGGGAGCAGUGGGGAAUAUUGGACAAUGGGGGGAAGCAUGAUACAGCCAUACCGAGUGGGUGAAAAAGGCGUUCGGGUUGUAAAGACGUUUUGUUGGGAAAGAAAAGCAGUAGGUUAAUACCACGCGGUUGUGACGGUACCGAAAGAAUAAGCACCGGCUAACUACGUG